UGGCAUUUGGGACUGCAGGAAAAUCCUUACACAACAAACUGCACUGUCCAGAAAAUACUGAUAUUUCGAAACAUUUAACAGAGUCUUUGUGCAUUGACCAAAACAUCUCUGUCUGCUAAGACGAAAACCCUCUUUCACUAACACUGGUGGGUGCUAAAGUGAAAAUCAUGUCGGAGUAUCAGGGGUGCGAUCAGUCUGGGCCCCAUCCCCCAAAUACAGCCAUUAUGGAGGAUGGGGUCUGGUUUUUUGUUGCCUUUCGCUAGAUCACUUGAGAAUGAAAAUGGUUGAAAACUGUGACACAUGUGUCACAUCUGUUAUAAAUUGACCCUGCGAUACAUCAGUAAGGAUUUUUCCUUUCGUGGAUGGAAGUUUGUGCAGUCAGGAAGAGAGUACACCAUCAAUAACUGAGAGACCAUGACCCAACCAAUACAAUGGAGGUAUGUGACCACAGCAGUAAUAUAGGGCAGAGUUUUUCUUCAACCAGUUUGUGUACCGCAAUAUGAUCUCUAUUAAAAGGUGAGGAAUCAUCAUUGCGGUUCCUGACCCUCUAGUUUCCGUUAACUGAGUUAUGAGCUGAAUGUAGAAACUGUGCAGCAGAAAAAAAGGCGAUCUUUUUUCUGGACAUAAGUGACUGACUAGGAAGUGAGAUUAUUUAUCUCUAAACUACCACUCACACAGCAAACCUGCGGUGAACCACAGACAACAUGUGAAAUGAGGAUCUUCAGAUUUAUUAUUGCGGCACAAAUGUCAGAUAGAUUUUGAGGACGGUUUUCUACUGCUGCAGGGGAGUCAGAAGCAUCAUAUGAAUUUGGAGUCAGAGGAGUCAGAGAUUUCAGCAGGUCCAAAAGGUUUGUCCAUGGAUGGAGAAGCUGUUUAUAUGUGUGAGAUGCUGUACGAUGUGCACAACUAUUGAAGAUCAAUAUUCCGGCUGAUAAAAACUGGAGGGGAAGUGUUUUUUUUUUUUUUCCAGGACAGCUGCUUUACUUACAUCAGUAACUGCAGCAGAGGCAGCCGUCAGUAUUAGUGUUACAGUUGUAUAACUAUUGCCAGGCUUGUUCUCCGUGUAGUGCCAGUGUACAUACACACUUGACUGUACCUUGGGAAGGCACCUGCCCCAGUCAAGGGCCUUUUUCAGCAGCCAGUGCUGCUACUGUACUCCCCACUCCUCUGUUGUCACCCACCUGCAAUACUGAACACAUGGGACCACAAGAGCCCUCACUGAGCACAAGGGCCCCCUUUCAUUUUCAGAGACGCUAUCAUUGUUCUUUUCCUGUUUGAUGUUUUCAGCUCUGAAAUUCACUGAGACACACAGAGACAUUAUGCCUGUUUGGCUCUGCAGUCACCUCAGGUUACACGUUACUAUGCUGUGCCACAGGAGUGUGAAGUUCUGAUGUUGACAGGAUAACGUUUGAUUUGCACUAAUAUGAUGUACUUGUUUUAUGAGCUACAAACAAACAGAAGUGCUGUUGUGGUUGACAUUGAUCGUGCAUAUGGAGCUUUGUUGUAGUUGUUCACAAUCUGUCAUCAGGAGGGAUUUCUCAUCAAUGCACUCUGACAUGUGAUUGGACACCCUGACAUGGUGUUUUAUUUUUUCGAUUGACUCGGUGGAAUCUGCUGUUCCUGUUUUCUAAAUCCUGCUCAGAUCUUCGCGGUUAAGUUCAGUACAUGCUGCUCUGUUGAAAAUAGAUACUUCCCGUGUUUUCAGCAGAGAAGGGAGAAGCUUCUGGGAUGGAGCGCAUGGCAUGUGUGGGGUGGCAUCGGACUCCCUGUGGAAAAGCAAGUGUCAUGAUCUGUGUAGGGGGCCAGGACACAACAGGAACAUACUGAGCUGCAAACUAGAAGGAACCAAAAUACAAAGACUAACCUUUCUAACAUAAGAGAACAAUACUGAGAGAUAAACCGCCAAUUCACACCAAGUCUAACAAACACUGUAAACAUAAGGCUUCAUGGUCAAUUUAGAGAGGAGGGGAUGGCAUCUCCCAGCUGAUAUAAGGAAAUAUCCCUGGGAGACUGAUCAGCUGUCGAGAUUGAGCAUACCUAUUUGGGAAGAGAGCGCCACAAACAAAAAAUGACACCCAGCACAUCCACAAACACACAAAAAUCUCCUGUUACAAUCACAGUUGUAACAUGAGCAGUGACUAGGAUGGAGGAGGAAGAGAUCUUGAGUGAGAGGAGUUUACAGUGACAGGCUUUCUGUGGGAUUUUGUGGUUAAACAGAAAUAAAGCACAUGGUAGGGCUGGGCGAUAUAUCAAAUUAAUAUCACCAUAUAUUGAGCAGUACACCUUGAUAACAAUAAAUGGAUGAUACUCCACGAGCUGCUCACCCCCUCCCACAUUAACUUUGUCUACUUCAGCCACCGCUCCAGCUGCUACAACUUUUGAACCGUCCUCCAUCUCCUCACCUGUCUUCCCCUCUUUGUUACGGACUGAAUGGGAUGGAGUCACAUCUCUGACAUAGGACAGUGUCUUAAAGGGACAUGAGACCAUUGCCUACCUACACACAUCCAAAACCAACUUUUUUAUAUUUGUUUUUUGGACACCAAAUAUAUUGACAUGAGCAAAAUGACGUUGGUUAUUGUCAGAAAUUUCGGUAUCUGUAAAUUUUCGGUUUAUCGCCCAGCCCUAGAACAUGGAGCUCUAGAGUGGCUACAGGGUGUCCUGUGCUUAUUUCUGUAUCUAACACGGAGAGAUUAAAACACUGGGGUGUUCAGAUCAUGCUGUUUGUCAAUGAGGUCACAGUCUGCUCCUGUUUGUCAGAGUUAACUUAUAAGGGACUUUGCGUUUUCACAGACCCACACACAAGGAAACUGCGAGCUAAAGCAGGUCCUAAUGUUUUUUUACUCUAACCAGGUCUUUUGAAAACAGCCCUUUGGAGAAAAACACGUCUUGUGAAAACUCUCAUCUGUUAGAUGUUUAACAUGGCUGUGAUUUUUGCACCUGCAGUCUGUUAAACAUGACUCAAGAGUUUGAAGAGUGAGGACCAACAGAGGAGAGAGAGAGUUGGCGAGCAGGGACAUAAAGACAAGAGGAACGCCAGAGUCAGUCAGAGUGGGUCAUGAAUCUUAGGUUUCCUGUAAAUCUGUCUCUUCCUCUUCAUUACUCACAUGACCUGACCCCACUGGCUGCUUCAACCAGACUCUGCACUUGCCAACUGGAUGGAUAGGCAACUAAUUGACUGAGUAACUGAUGGAUGGAUGACCGAUCCAGCAUCUGUAAGACUUUUUUCUGGGUGGGUGGACAAUGUUGAUGGAUGAUAGAUUGAUGAGUGUUUAGGAAUGCAUGGAUUAACGGAUGAUGAAAGUGCUAACAUGGACAACUGCAUUGAUAAAUGGACCGGUAGUCUGUGAUUGCUCAUGGAUGUGAGCAUUUACUUAGUGUAAAGUAAGAAAGUUGAAAUCAGAACUGCGUUAUUGUCAGGUUUGUUGCCGUAAAGACUCUAUAGAAGUCAGUGAAUGAAAACAGGAUCAGCUGGAAAUAAGGAAAGACAUUAAGAGUAACACCAUGUCUGAGCAGCAUCAAAGCAGCAGCUGUGAGUUGUCCAUCACUGUCUGUGGAAAAUUCACACCGCUGUGCAUUUAAAAGAGUUCACAGCGUCUCUCACAACACGCAGGGUGAAAAUCAGAAAGAAAAGGCUGCAGGUACAAACAGACCUCUGCCGCUGCAGGCUUCUGCACAGAAGAAGUGACUGACGCUGUCACUGCUAACAGCUGCUAUGUCUCAUACCUGCACCACGCACUGCUGGAUUUCCACUCAAGCACACGCACCAACUUAAUUUUUAUAGAAAUAUCCUCAAAAUGAGAAAGUUUCUUUUAUUCAUUUAUAUCUGAGAAAGAUGAUUAGUUUACCAAACUACCAGGAGCAAACUACCCUGGUCUGAAUUAAUAACUGUCAAGUUUAAUUCCAGAUUUACACCAAAGCUUCAUUAUGAUCCUGCUUUGUGCUUAAUCAUCUGAUCCCAUGGAGAAAUAGCAUCUUUGUUGAGUUUAUAUCCUGCUCAGAUGUCAGAUAUGGCUGAGAGGUAGAGCAGGAUGACUGCUGAUCAGAGCCUCAUCACACGAAUUACCUCAAAGUAACUGACACUCAACAUGUGGGACUUAGGUGGAUUUCUGGAUCUUAUAAUUCCUUUGACUUUUUAAUUUCAUACGGCUACUGAUCUUGUCUUUGGGCUGCCUUAACAGCUUUGUUCAGGUGCUCAUGGGAAAUAAACCAUGUUUAAGAUUAGGCAAAGAAAAAUCAGAUUCAAGUGAAAAACCUCUUUGACACAGACAUCACUAUAUAGUUCACAUCCUCAAAACAGAUUUCAGUGAUUAGAAACAAAUCACAAAUGUGUUUACAUCGGCUGAAUAACACAGACAUCAGCAAUUAUAGCAGGAUUGUCCAGCAUGAAAACAUGAUUAAAUAAAUAAAAUAAAUAAUGUCACUGUUAAGGGGUGGAUGACAUCCAUCACAUCCACAAAAAACUGGAGCUGUUUGAGCGGACCAACAAAUACACAUCUGUAAAACAUACACUUAAGAGCAUUUUCAUUCAACAUGCUGAUUCAGCCGUUCAAAAAUCCACCGGGUUCUACAACUUCACAGGUUUGCCCCUAAGUGGAUGGAGGCAUGUGGACAGACAAAGAAAUUUGCUUUGGGGAAAUCCAGGUUCCAGGUCUUUCAAAAAGAAAAAAAAAAAAACAUAUUUGUGAGAGUGUCUGACCAACACAACAUAUGCAUAUGCUCGUUGGUAGUUAAGGGUUAAUACUAAUGCGGGGAACUGACAACUCUUGGCUGAGAACCAAGUCUGAGUUUUUUGUCCGAUGCUGGAAAAUAAAACAUUUAUUUCGGUUGAGAAAGUUUUCAUUGAUUAAGAGGGAUGAAUUUGUUGUGACAUUUUGGUUCUACACACCCUCAGAAACCCUGCUGUGUAUCUCUAUCACUGCUGCUUGUUGUAAAGUAUAUUCUUGGAGCAAAUUAGACUUCAGGUACAUGUCUUUGCAGUGAGAAGCUCACUUCAAGUGUGUGUGACAGCUGGACAGAAACCUGCUUCCCUGCUUCAGUCUGUGCUUCUCGCUGGAGGGGAGGGGAGUCUCGUGGUCCGCCGUCAAGGGGCUGAAAGGUCCUAUCAGGGGAGGGGAAGCCCAUCACUGCCUUUAGAGGAGAUACAGAAAGCUAGGACAAGCCAUUACAGUAUUAACACAUCAGCCUUUUAUUAGAAAAAGACAUGGUUCUGUACUCAGUGUGGGGGCUCAGGGACUGCUGGACUCUGUGUGCCCCCAUAAUGUGCAUGUUACAUUUAUAAAGCAGAUCACAGUGAUCCAAGUUCAAAACAAGCUUAUAUGGACAGAACUAUCUCAGUGAUGUGUUUCAUUCAUGUGACAUUUUACUGGGAGAAGAAAAAAACAACUGCAGUUUAACCUGUCUUAUAGGAAACCUCCUUUGACAUUAAAGGAGGGGACACCCCUGUAAGACCACAACUACAGACCCCCUGUUACUGAAACAGCAACCAGGACUGAUGGGUCCUCUGGUGGAUGUGAUUUUGAUAUACAGAGACAGAAUGAGGUAAAACUCAUUUGAGGAGUGAAGAAAAUGAUAUUGAAUAUGUGCUUUUGGUAAUAGAGGCCAGUGUAUGCCAUGGUAACAUCAUCAGCACAACCUAACAUUGAUAUGUGUCCAUUAAAAUUGUCCCAGUGAAUUGAACAGCCACAGUUUCGGUGUUUUAGAUCUUAGCCCACCAGAUGAUCCCCCCAAAGUGGGCUGUGACAUUGGACUGAAAAUGUAAUGUGCCCUUCAGCAGGUGUUAGCAUGCUGAUGGGUUUAACACUGGAAAACUCAGCAGAUGAACGGUCUCUCAUGUUGUCACUGAAAUGACAAUGUCCCUGUGCCUCAAAAAGCCAGUACAGGUGUGCAGUAGCAUUAAUGUAAGAAUGAGCAAAGGCAACUCAAAACUUUUUUACAAAUACAUUGUCAAUCAAUCAAUCAACCAAUUUUGCAACAUCAUCUAAUAGGGCUGCACGAUUUCGGCCAAAAAUGAAAUCCCAACUUUUUUCUCAGAAAACUUGAUUUUCGAUUUCUUUUUUUUUUUUUAGUGACAACUUCACCAAACUUCCUUUACUAAGCUUUUCUAUCAUCUCUCAAAACAAAACCAGCGAAAAAAAAUGAAGUGCAUUUGCCAAGCCAGUAAGUGGCGCUGUAACGCUGACGAGGAACUAAACAAAAGACAAAAAAGGAGUACAGAGCAUGUGUAUAAAGGUGGUUUUGGCCGGACACAUGCAGCCACCAUAAAAGAGUAACGCUGUGUGUCACACAAUCGUUUUAAGAGCUGCAGAUAGGCAUCCACACGGAGAUGAAAUGUUAGUUGUUUAUAGAUUUAUGCACUCUCUGACUCGUUUUCAAAAAGUCCCACUUACAGUCACCCAAAAUGCUGUUUCCAUGUAGAUGAAAGACCAAUACCACAAAAAACUUGCACAUCUACUUCUGACGGGUUGAUACCGCCUUCAAACAGACUUUGCAGUGGGGAGUGGUUUGCACUUUGUCUGCAACUGUAAAGCCAUAACAAGUCCACACGACUGACUUGCUCUUGCUGUAUUUAGCCACUAGAUUAUCACCUUCUUUUGCAAACAUGUUUGUUUACAUGUUUGUUUACACUGGUCUGUUGGAACUAGGGAGCGCUCCCACAGGAAGUGGGAGCCUACAGUGGCCUGGAGGUGUGAGACAUGAUAGAGAGGAAAAUUGAUUUGACGAUUUUAAUUUUUUUAAUCAAAUAAUCCUAUUACAAUUGAAAACCUAUUAAUCAUGCAGCCCUAUGACCCAAAUGUAACAACUGACAAGUUGGUCAAAACAUAAAAACAAGUCACAAUGGUAAUGUUCAAGGCAUGCAGUAGACAUAAAUGAACAGGCACUGAGCCACAGAGAUAAAUCUAAAUCUGAAAAAGAUUGUACAAAAAAUGAUUACAGCUUCAUAAAGAUGGCCUUUAACUUCUGAAAUGAAUUAGCAAACCACAACAAAAGAUCACUUCCAAACCCUGCUGUGAAGUUUCAGAUGAUGGUCAGCUCGAGCAGAUAACACCUCAUUAGUUCUCUCUUAGUACACUUGGUUCAUUUCCAUCCUAAGCAUAAUCCUUUCAGUAAACGGCCUUGUGAAGUGGAGUUAUGGGGAUGUUUGAAAAGACUGUGCAGAGACUGGAAUCAGAGUUCAUGAAGCUACAGGGAAACUAAAAUGAGAUAACAGACAUCCCUGUGGAGCCUCCCGCGGCUAACAAGCCUCUGUUCUGACAUACGAUCCACUCAAACAGGCCCUCUGUGCUAAAUUGAACAAAAAGUCUUUGAUCCAGACAAUGAGGCAUCUGUUAACAUCCACUUUAUGCAGUCUUUCAGCAAAGUCUCCAUUUCUGUUCAUUUCAAAGAUAACAGAGAAAUUCAGGACAAAACUCCAGCAAAAGUUCCAGUCUUAGUGGGUGCUGUGGAAGCGAGUAGCGUCCCUCGCUGUGAUAGUCGGAUGAUCACACCUUCACCUGUUUAAUAUCAACAGAAAAUUUCUCAGUCACUCCCCACCUCUGCUCAUUGUUAUGCACAGACUAUCCUGAGUACUGCAGGGGCAAGUUAGAAUUUAGAUGUUGUUUUCAUUGUCUGCUUGAGUCUUCAUUUUAUUCUCUCUGUUUCUUUUUCUGUUGCUGACUUCUGCUUCGUCACUGUCGCUGCCCUGUAACCGAGGAGUUUAAUCUGUUUAAUUUGAUCAAAUUAAGGGCAGAGCGGGGUUAUUAAAUGACCAGAACUAAAGACAUCAUUCUUAAUCAUCACUGUUGACCCUCAAGUGUCACAUCAGUGUCACAUGCAUUUGAUUCAUCUCCUAUUUUGCUGUGUUUGGGACAUUUCUGUUGGCUGUCUAGCCCCCAUGCUGCAGCCAGCCUGUUUCAGUGAAGGUGGUUCAGAGUCCAGAGGCUGAAGAGUGCUAAGAUGUGGACAUGGGAUCAGAUGUUGUUUUAUCUUUACCAGUGCCCCUUUUUGGUGGGGUUGUCUAGAAGGGUUUCCCUUCUCUGUGUGAUAUCUGGACAAACCCAGACCUGCUGGUGCAUUCACCGAUGACCCUGCAGUUGACCAGUUCCAGCCAUUUCCUCCUCCUCCACAAAAGCAGCUUUAUGACUUUAUUUACUUUAAGACUUCAUUCUUCUAAGUAAUGAUUUUAUCACUACUUUAUUCUCAUGGGUAAUAAAAAUUUCAAUGGAAAUAAAUCAAAUUAAAAAUUGAAAAAUAAAUAAAAAUAAUAAAAAUAAGAAUACAAACAGAACCAAAAAGUUCAAUAAAGACUGUUAUAAUAAUUUUUUUUUAAAAAGUUUGUUUCAGUCCACAUUUAUCCAGGUCAUAAUUACAGAGCAGCUGGACUUGCGUGAGCCUAUAAAGAAUUGUGCAUGACUGAAAAUAAAAACAGGGCCCCACUCUCUCUACAUGUUUAACCAAGAGUCUCUUUUCCCCCUUGAAAACUCAAGGGUAAGCAGGCAUGCAUCCACAGUGGAGUUACAGUUAUAACCCAUUAUGCUGCACUCUUGAAUGCUUUGGUAAUGGAAACCCUUGGGCUAAAACUUUAAUAAAGUUAAAGCAAGCCCAUGACCCAAGGUCACUCAUUCAAUUAGCCAAGGCUAAAACCAGCUGGUUAAUAUAGGAAAAGUCAGCCGAAGUUACAACAGCUCAGAGGAACCAUGCUCGGCUACAAAAAACAAUUCCAAAUUACCGAAGCUAAAAGAGUUGACGCUAACUGAGUGAGCACUAACAUUUAAAUAAGUGAGGAAUUGUAAUUCAUGUCUAGUGCUCCGGUCUCCACAAACUGCAGACGCAAAGGCAACAGCCUGUAGCUACCAUGUCAGAACAAAGGAAAGAGCAACACCUCAGAAAAUUAGUGACUUUUCGCCUCUGCAGAAAUCAUCACAGCCACAAGGGUUCAGGUAUAAGGACUUGAGCAUUUCUGAGCUCUUGAUAACUCUUGUUUAUGCAUUCAAAGCCUCGAGGAGUGCAAAAUUAAUUACUUCAGCUUGGUGACCAGAGAAAAGUGCAGCAUGAAAUCUGAAAAGGUUGAGAGUGGGAGCGAGGGAAAGCCAGAUCAUCUCUUCAUUCAUGUUGGCCUGACUGCCUGUCCCUCCUCGCCCCUAGGUGACCUCCCCAACCAGCAAAUCCCAUUUCUCAGUCGCCCUGCUUCAUGAAUUCUGGCAUUUCAAUUUCUAGUAAUUAUGUGCAUCCUUAUAUUCUCACAGGGUCUUCUUCAAAAGUGCUGUGUGUGUGUGUGUGUGUGUGUGUGUGUGUGUGUGUGUAUGUGUGUGUGUGACCUGCAGAAAAAUAGUGCUUUAUAAAAUAGUUGAAGAAAAAAAUCGUGAAAAAUACCAGCAGGAACACAGAUCAAAAUAAGCCAAAGGGCUCUAUUUUCGUGCGCGCCGGUGAGGCGGCGGAGGGCGGCGAGCCCCGCGCAGUUGUAUUUUCGUCUGGCGGAGCCCGGCGUAAGGCCAGUUUGGUAUUUUCGUGGACUUAGCCGCACGGAGGCGAGCCGAGAUCCGCCAAGCUGGGCGUGGUGGCGUGGCAGGGGGAGGUGUCGACAGAAUCAGCAGGCGCAGUGACAUUUUCAUGCUCGCCACCGGCGUGUAAAGUGCGCUGAAAGCUCGCCGAUUCAAACCUGGUCAGCUUUCAGCGCAUGGCAGAACGCAGCUGGUCCAGUAGUAUUUUGGUAGACCGGCGGCGUAUUGACAUAAGUCACUGAUGCCUCACCGGCAGGUUUCCACAGUGUCAGGCACAUUUCAGUGCAAUAAAUAAUCAUCAACAACUAAUAAUCUGAGUCAGCACAUACAUUUAGAUCUAUAUAGAUAUAUUCUGAUCUAUAUCUGAUCUGAUGAGCGCGUUUGGCACGCGUUUGGACACACAACCUGACCGAAUCAACACAGCUGAAACCGCAUCAAAUUAAAUUAAAUAUCUAGUAAAUAUUCACACAUGAUGAAGUUAACAAGAUAUGUAAUUUGUCUCCCUCCUUUUCUUUCUUCCUCUUCCUCUUAUUUCUCGCACAGCUCGACCUGGACAUGUCUCCGUGUCCUCUGUCCGUCUUGCUGCUGCUGCGGCUGAACAGAUGAUUUGUUUCAGUGCUCAGAUGCGUUAUCUACUUUAAGCCGACAUACGGAUAUUAUAAUAUUCAGUUUUGUGAGCCAAAUUUAUUUUAUAUGCCAACAUCUAUGAAAGAAAGAGCCAGGCCACGGAGCGCGAUGCGUCAUUUACGCACAUAUGGUUCCGAUUUUAAUGCCAUUUUUGGAGUUUAUGUUGUGAUCUGUGCGCUCAACCCACCUUUGUCACGUGAGGUUUGAAUAUGAGCAACUUUAUGUGAGUGUCUUUAUUUGUGGAAAAGGGUGUUUGUCUUACCAGUGGGUCCAACAUUAAACACACCAAAUCCAUCUGUGCUCAUAUGAGAGAGUGUGGAGGACACUUGUUGAGGAGCUGCCCUCUGUCGCCAUCUUGUGGCAUUACUGUCUUAAGACAUCUCUUGAUCUCUUUGACUACUUCAUGAAAAUAGUAAUACACCUCGCCUGUGGCGGAUUUAAAGGCAAGGAGAGGAGCUUAUGUGAUUGGUGAAAACAGGUCUCGGCUGUGUUAAACCCACUCCACGCCCUCUCUCCUCCCCGUCUACGACUUAUGCUGCUGGGAGGAGCUGAGUUAGGGAUACUUACGCUGGGCUGCGCGGCUCACCAAAAUACCAAAUUGUGCUUGGGAAUGCCUUGUCAGCGCGGCGGAUCUGACUGACGCUGCACUUGCGGCACGUCACCGGCGAGGUACGAAAAUAGAGCCCAAAAAGUUUGGUCCUCUAUCAUACUGCUGCUCUGUAAAUGUUAAAGAUUGGUGGUUCGUUCAAAUAUAACCACAGGUGUGGAUGAGAGCAUACAGGUAUGAU
rnacentral:lncRNA from 1 species